rnacentral:tRNA from 1 species
GGGUAGAUAUGCAAAUUGGCUGAAGCAAACUGAUUGUAAACCAGUUGUCCCUGACCGUUGGGGGUUCAAAUCCCUCUCUGCCCA